rnacentral:rRNA from 1 species
GAUGAACGCUGGCGGCGUGCCUAAUACAUGCAAGUCGAGCGAACGGACGAGAAGCUUGCUUCUCUGAUGUUAGCGGCGGACGGGUGAGCAACACGUGGAUAACCUACCUAUAAGACUGGGAUAACUUCGGGAAACCGGAGCUAAUACCGGAUAAUAUUUUGAACCGCAUGGUUCAAAAGUGAAAGACGGUCUUGCUGUCACUUAUAGAUGGAUCCGCGCUGCAUUAGCUAGUUGGUAAGGUAACGGCUUACCAAGGCAACGAUGCAUAGCCGACCUGAGAGGGUGAUCGGCCACACUGGAACUGAGACACGGUCCAGACUCCUACGGGAGGCGGCAGUAGGGAAUCUUCCGCAAUGGGCGAAAGCCUGACGGAGCAACGCCGCGUGAGUGAUGAAGGUCUUCGGAUCGUAAAACUCUGUUAUUAGGGAAGAACAUAUGUGUAAGUAACUGUGCACAUCUUGACGGUACCUAAUCAGAAAGCCACGGCUAACUACGUG